rnacentral:rRNA from 1 species
AGUGGGGGAUAACGUAGCGAAAGUUACGCUAAUACCGCAUAUGCCCUGAGGGGGAAAGGGGGGGAUCGCAAGACCUCUCGCUUUCGGAGUGGCCGAUAUCAGAUUAGCUAGUUGGUGGGGUAAAGGCCUACCAAGGCGACGAUCUGUAGCUGGUCUGAGAGGACGACCAGCCACACUGGGACUGAGACACGGCCCAGACUCCUACGGGAGGCAGCAGUGGGGAAUUUUGGACAAUGGGCGCAAGCCUGAUCCAGCCAUGCCGCGUGAGUGAAGAAGGCCUUCGGGUUGUAAAGCUCUUUCAGCCGGAAAGAAAUCGCACUGGUUAAUACCUUGUGUGGAUGACGGUACCGGAAGAAGAAGCACCGGCUAACUACGUGCCAGCAGCCGCGGUAAUACGUAGGGUGCGAGCGUUAAUCGGAAUUACUGGGCGUAAAGCGUGCGCAGGCGGUUUUGUAAGACAGACGUGAAAUCCCCGGGCUUAACCUGGGAACUGCGUUUGUGACUGCAAGGCUAGAGUACGGCAGAGGGGGGUAGAAUUCCA